rnacentral:rRNA from 1 species
GACGAACGCUGGCGGCGUGCUUAACACAUGCAAGUCGAACGGAAAGGCCCUGCUUUUGUGGGGUGCUCGAGUGGCGAACGGGUGAGUAACACGUGAGUAACCUGCCCUUGACUUUGGGAUAACUUCAGGAAACUGGGGCUAAUACCGGAUAGGAGCUCCUGCUGCAUGGUGGGGGUUGGAAAGUUUCGGCGGUUGGGGAUGGACUCGCGGCUUAUCAGCUUGUUGGUGGGGUAGUGGCUUACCAAGGCUUUGACGGGUAGCCGGCCUGAGAGGGUGACCGGCCACAUUGGGACUGAGAGACGGACCAGACUCCUACGGGAGGCAGCAGUGGGGAAUAUUGCACAAUGGGCGGAAGCCUGAUGCAGCAACGCCGCGUGCGGGAUGACGGCCUUCGGGUUGUAAACCGCUUUCGCCGGUGACGAAGCGUGAGUGACGGUAAUGGGUAAAGAAGCACCGGCUAACUACGUG